rnacentral:lncRNA from 1 species
CUUACAUCUUAGUUCAUAUUUAUAAGCAAAGCAUUUCAGUACUUUUACCAUAUUUAUCGAUGUGGGACUUAGGACACUGUCAUUCUUUUUGUACGUUCUCCAUAUCCUGAUUUUGUAUCUUCUCACAUAAUUGGCCAUAACAAGGAUCUUGCAGCAAAGCUGCAAAAACACUCCCCCACCCACCCGCUCCAACACUACAAUCCUCAAAGGAUUGCCAUUAGUAUUACCAAGAAGGUCUUGAAGAUCAUCAGACUUCUCUUCUGAAUCAUUGCAAUUAUGAACAUAUAUAUGAGCAUAUCAGUUCAAUGGAUUACCGGUCCAACUUUGGUCCGAACUUGAACAAGUGAGCAUAUUGGUUCGAUUUCCAGUCCGAUUUUGAUUACCUUGAUAAAAUCUCAAAUAUUAUUGUUGCAUUUGCUAUUUUUAUUUCUUGACAAUUCAGUUUUAAUUGCUUGUUUAAAUGGUAACGCCACAAUGGAAUUUGUUGUGACUCAUCAAGUAUUUUGUACUAACUAUUAUUCUUGUAUAAGACUAGUUGGAGGGUGAGCAUGCUAAGAUAGGAAAAUGGUCUUGAAAGAAUAAUCUUGCUAGAGUAUGCUUAUGAAGUUUCUUUUAACGGAAAAUAUUAAUAUUGUUAGUAUUAUGUUGAUAAUGGAGAUCGUCAACUCCUUGCCCUCCUAAACACUAUGAAAUUUGCUAGUGACAACUUGAAGAGGAUUCCAUGCUUCCUAUUUCAUGGCAAUUCAAAAGAUUAAUCUACAGCAUACAUAGGUUACUUAAAUAUGUCAUGGCUGCGAUUAUAGAUUGAAUAUUGAUCUGUGCUAAGUUUUCUAACAUGCAUAUGACACAAAAACCACCUGAAAUGAGCAGCAUAUGAAGUUCGUCUAAGCCGGAAUUGUUCUGAUUUUCAUACUUGGACGUAAGUUUAUGAAGUUGCAAGAGAAGGCAGAGUAAAUGUUUAAAAGAUUUUUUUUAUGUAAUAUAAUGUAUGUGUAUAAAAUUAUAAUCAAAUAAGAAAAAAAAAAAAAAAAAAAGCAAGAACAACAGCACUCAACACUAGUUUAUAUGUACUUCUGGGGAGAGAUUAUGAAAUCUUGAAUCCAUUGAAGGUACCAUUAGUCCAAAAGAAGCUUUGUUUGUUUUUAUUGAUCACCAAUUAGGAUAUGUAUUCUUCUCUGUACAAUACUGAUGUAUGAAGAAAACUGCAAUGGUGUCAGCCUGUCAGGGCUCAAUUUUAAGAAGACAACAAAUGUAAACAUAAUGGAAAACUGAAAAUAAAUGACAAGUGUAUAACAAUAUAAUUAACCAUGAGAAAUUUAGUUACCUAUGAUAUCAUGCAAAAAAACUAAUAUUUAGAAGACAAAGUCCCACAAGUCUGAAAGAAUAUAGGAAAUAUAAAGCAUAGCCAGAGUUCCAUCUCUAAGAUUUUGAAUGCUGAGGUUUAUAUAAGGUUAGUUCCUGUAAAGAAAUCUAAUUGUGAGUGAAUUUUUUAAUAUCUUUGAGACUGAACAUACAAUAUUAGCUAAAUGGAUAAUUGAGGUUACCUUCGAAAAGAAUUCAUGAUCAUGAUGCAAAUUUGAAGUUUUCACUAUUGUUUCCCAUUUGCUAUAGCUGGAUGCUCUACUAUAACCUAUCCUUUUAACAGCCUGUGAUUGUGUUCCUCGACUCGAAUACACGGACAGACUCUUCAAUGAAACUAAAGGCAAUGCACGACAAAGCCACGACUCAGAAGG